UUUGCCUGACGAAGUCAGUCGUUUGGCGAACGUCAAAGCAUUCGUAACAAAGUGAAAAGUAUUGUGACAGCAGCGCAGGUCUACGCCUCAGAAAUAACAAAGUCGUAAAACGCAUACAACGCAAUUAUAGAAUGUAAUGAAAUGAAUGUGAAGGAAGUGAAGAGUGUGAGAUGAAGAGCAAAAAUGUGCAUACAUAUAUGGUGUGAGUCAUGGGCGCUGCUGUCAAAUCAACGCCAACGCCACCAAAAUGGCAUGACAAACGACUGGUUCGGGUGCAACACUUUCACACUUGUUUCCUGCUCCUCGAAACGUUAAUUGGAACGAUGAGGAGGAACGGAAUACUUGUCAAACAACCUCUGCAACAACAGCAGCAGCAGAAUCAUCGAGAAUGAAGCGAAGCGCUCCUCUCAAAAUGAGUUACACAAUACGCGUCGUAUUCGGCCAAGAAAGUAUUGACAUUGUCACUGAGUGAGUUCUUCAAUUGUCUGUCCGUCUACACCCACACAACGUUGGCCGCGAGUUGCGCUAGCAAGCAAGCUCUACACAGUCCGCCGGAGCAGCAGCAAACACCACCGAGUCUCCACCCACUAUGCAUGAAAUGCCAGAAACAGCUCUGUUCACGCAAUGGUUUCAUAUAUGGGGACAAGGCGGAAUUGCACGCAGCAGUAGCGGCGGAAGCAGCAGCUCGGCAGCAAACGUGUGUCCCGUCCAACGCCCUUGUCGGUGUCAACCAUCCCAAGUGUAAUCUACUCUGCAUAAAGCGUUUCUCAGUUGCUGGCAACUACAAAAGCUACAACACCACCACCCACUAUCCAUCCACUCAGCCAGCAUACAGCUAUGCAUACAUAUACACACGGUAUUUGGUAUAUCAGCUGCGAACACAAAUAUUGCUUUUUGAACAAAUUUACAGCGUAAUACAAAACGGAGCAUACCAAAUCAACAAUUUACCAACACGUCACAGUUGAACGUUCCUGUGAUGCGCCAUCAGUUACAUAAUUAGCAAGCGGUAUGAGGUCACGAACAUCAGCAUCUUCGUUGUCACCCCGUCGUUGUUCCUUCGGUUAUUUCGCUUUACUUUCUCUCGCAUGUAAGCGUUUUAUGGACUCUUUUCGCUAAUAACAAUCGAAUUACAGCAAUCGCCAAUUGGUUCGCAAUGAAUUUGGAAGGAUCCAUAAAGACUGUCCAAAAAUAGUGUGGUUGGCAAGUCUACGUAGCUCCUUUGUUCUAAUCAAACGCAUCGCAUAGCAUUUUGUGUUAUUAUUUUUAGCGAUAUGCUGCAGUGGAACUGUGCCUGCACAUAUCGGUCGUGGAUAAGUCCCUCAGCUCGGAGGUCAGCUAGUAAGACUAUGAAUGGACGUGCUCUGUGGCGAAACUCGAUUGCCAAAUAGGGCAAGAGAUAAGUUUGAAGUUUAAUUUAAUGCUAACCAGCCCAAGUAUCGGGCUUGUAUCUUUUGUAGCGAUACGUCACAGUUGAGCGGUGCCUGUGAGUAUCUGACAAAUCUAUUGAAGUUUUUUGAGAAACACGUUGAGGAUCGAUAAAAAGGAACUUAUAACCCCGCUAAGUAGACUUAGGACAAUGCCAAAUGUUUACUCUGUAUUUUUUAGCGAUGCGGCGAUCAACUUGGUGCCGCCUGCGUGCAUCUGCAAAAACAAAAAUCGAUAUUGAACAAGCCAGAAAGAUUAAGAACUAUCGCGCCUAAUAGAUCAACAGCACAAGCAGGAGGUCCCCUUCUUUUUUCUCUCUCUUUUUGGAUACUCUUGUAUAAUUUUUUAGACCAUGGCAACGCGGUUGAAUGUGCCUGCAUUGCAUGAAUUCUGCUGACAAAACGGAGGGGCUGAAAAUGCACAAUUCCUUUGAUAUGCCAGAUGAUAACACUGCAACAAACAAUCAUAGAAGCCAUAAACGACAAACUCUAACCCGAAGUCAAACUCCUCAUAACCAGGCUUUCCGACGUAAUUCUUACGUUUGCCAUUCUCAAUUUGGACCUUCUGUUUUUUUAUAGUUAUAUGACGCAGUUUGAACGGUGCCUGCGCAUAAAUAUGUGGUCAAAGGAAACCUAAAUGUGGAUUUGAAAAAAUGUUCGUCUACAAUGGAUACGUCGAGGGCUCCCACAAAUGUAACUACUUUUGUAGCACGAAAACGUUUUCUUUCGUUUUUUAUAGCAAUAUGGCGCAGUUGAGCGGUGCCUGCGCAUAUUGGAACCGACUUCAGAGUUUGAAAUGACCAUUUUAUUGUCCAAGAUUGCCAUGAAGAAGCAACCUUCCUGUCCGUAAUAGCCAUAAGACUCAAGUUUGAGCGGUGCCUGCCUAUUUAUUAUGUGGAUUGUAGGAAAUUACCGAGUCCGUCUACAAUGGAUACGUCGAGGGCUCCCCGUAAAUGUAACUACUUUUGUAGCACGAAAACGUUUUCUUUCGUUUUUUAUAGCAAUAUGGCGCAGUUGAGCGGUGCCUGCGCAUAUUGGAACCGACUUCAGAGUUUGAAAUGACCACUUUAUUGUCCAAGUGAUAAUUAGAUGUGGAUUUUAGGAAAUUACCGAGUCCGUCUACAAUGGAUACGUCGAGGGCUUCUCGUAAAUGUAACUACUUUUGUAGCACGAAAACGUUUUCUUUCGUUUUUUAUAGCAAUAUGGCGCAGUUGAGCGGUGCCUGCGCAUAUUAGAACCGACUUCUCAAGUUUGAAUUGACUACUUUAUGGUCCAAGAUUGCCAUGAAGAAGCAACCUUCCUGUCCGUAAUAGCCAUAAGACUCAAGUUUGAGCAGUGCAUGCCUAUUUAUUAACGGUGUGGGAUACAUAGAUGUGGAUUUAGGAAAUUACCGAGUUCACCUACAAUGGAUACGCCGAGGGUUUCCCGUAAAUGUAACGACUUUUGUUACGCAAAAUCGUUUUCUUUCGUUUUUUAUAGCAAUAUGACGCAGUUGAGCGGUGCCUGCGCAUAUUGGAACCGACUUCUGAGUUUGAAUUGUCCACUUUAUGAUCCAAGAUUGCCAUGAAGAAGCAAGCAGUUGACGCAACGUGGCCUUUCAAUGUUAUACACGUAAAUCAUUUGAAAUGUGGCACAACGUAUUUUCCCCGUAUUUUGUAGCGAUAUGAACGCAGUUGACUGUAUGUAUCUGCAAACGGCAUAGGCAGGCGCUCUACUACAAGAGUCGGUGUCAGCGAAAUCCUGGGAUUUUGGUUCACAUGUCGUCGCAUAUUUAGGACUAAAAAGGAAUAAGAUACUCCCUUUCCUCAUUAUCCUGAAAAAGUGGCAGUAUACAUUUACCGUAUUUUUGCAGUGUCGUUAUCUUCACAUCCGUCUACGAAGAUGUCCUCCCUCACACAAUUGAAAACACGCUCUCACUUUUGCCCCUCUGAUACUGAUACUCGUACAUGUUGCAAAAUUGAUUGAGGCAAUGGGAAUCAAAUGCCAACUUGAAAGCAAUAACACCACUAACACAACUGAAUACCAACCAACAUCAUACAAUAACAUAACGAAUUCUGAAAGGUUCACUGAAAGAUCCCGAACGUCAAGGUCAGCUCAGCGUCUUCUUUCAACUGAACAUUCUCGCAACACUUUGAUGAUGAAUAGCAGUGGGAAUAGAACAUGAACGGCGGCACAUAGGAGAUUAUAAAUCCAUACUUCCAGAAUGUGUGAGAAUCUUUACUCGCCUUAAUAUCUUUUCCACCUUUUUGCAGUGAUGCGACACAGUUGUUGAAUGUGUGCCGCCCGUGUGCAUCGAGAAGGGCGCGUCAUGUUCCAACCUAAGAGCUCACUUUUUUGAUGCGAACAUUUAUACGUACGUGACAACUUAAAUACAAACUUAAAACCGUCGAGCGCUCUUGCGCCCGCGCACAUUUUCUCUUCCACUCCUCUUUUAUUACAAUGUUUCCAGCCUAGGUUUCAUUAUGACUGAGCAUCUUACUCUUAUUGCACGAGCGAACGCCACUUCGGUGUCAGCAAAUCGUUAAAGGGAAUCAAAAACGAUACAUCAAUCCAUCCAUUUAAGCAAAUGUCAAGAUAAGUAACGCCAACAACAACAACUGAAGCGCAAAGCUACACAAAGUGUCUGUCGCUCACAAUGUGACGCACUGCAUAACUCGCCAAACAAACCCUUGGCUGCUACAAAAAGUCACUUUGACGCAAACGAGAACGUUUAAUCUAACUUUACAGCAAUGUUGGCUGCCACAUGGCUGCUUGUGAUGCUAAAAAGCAAACAGCGCCGCACAGUACACUCACCUAGGCCGACAUUUACGCAUGUAUAUGGGUCUAGUGAGGCCCCAGUACCCGUUGCUGGGUGGGGGCCUCUGCGACGCACCGUCAAUGCGUCGUGUGAUGUACUCAGCAAUAAAAUGCACUGCACCGCACAGAAAUGUGCGCGCUCGGUCCACGCUAAAGGGAACCACAUGCGUUUGGACCGAGACCCGCCAUACCACACACCAUCACCAGCACUCGCUGAAGAAGCGAGCUGAUGUGUUGUCGUUGUUACCGGGCAGCUGGCUGCAUCAAAUCUUCGCAACGAAUCCAACUUUCAGCAUUCAUUCAUUCAUUCUGAACUGAAAGAAGCGACCGUCUCGACAGAGCGCUCCCACUCCUGUGCCACUGCCUGAGGACUAAUUAGGACACAAAAUGCGCGUUCUGGGAUACGAAUGAGGGUCAGCUCUCCCCCUUGCGCGUUCGCCAAGUUGCCAGAGUGGAACGGGUUGCUUCCACUUUUUGUAGAGUCGCGUUUGGGAGUCAUUUCAGCUAUUCCAAAUCCAUAUCUAGCAGCACGCGGCGGCCUCUGGCCCCUGCUCACCGAGAGCACCACGUGGCUUGGCCGCAGCUUGUCGCAAAUGGGAAUCAAAUGCGAUUAGCGAUCAAGAAGCAGAAGAUGUCUGUGUAAGAAGAUGAACAGGACGACGACCCGUCAGGCGAGACAAGAGGCAAAGGCAGAUACAGUUGACAGGAGGCAGGCGCCAAAUAUGAGAAGAGCAAUUUUUUAUUUGGUUUAUCAUUUUCCGUUUUCUUUCUCAACGGGUUGUCGUCAUCUCAAUUCAAUUUUUAUUCCACUGUCUAGGUAGUCCAGAGAGCGAAGGGUGUGGCAGCUGCUACACCAUAUCUGUAUCCAUCGCAAAGGGAAUCAAAUGCGAUUAGUGUUCGAAGACCGAGCUAGCUAGCCUGGGCUAUGCUACGCUCAGCCAGUUGAGCGCUUAACUCCUGGCGCAACGUUCAACGUACCGCAAAAGGGAAUCAAUUGCGAGGUGGUACUGCAGCAGCAUGAAGGGCGAGUUCAUGAGCAUGCCAGUUGAGCGGGUCCCCCAACUCCUGGCUUCAAGUUUCGUUUCCCGCAGCAAUCGUAAAGGGAAUCUAAUACGAUACAGCAAGCAGCAUCAGAGCAGAGCAGCCCGGGCUCUACCAGGCAGGCAGACAAUCGCAAGAGAUCUCAACAGAUUGAUGAGAGCUGGCGUCGUCGUGGUCCGUCUUGUUGUCGUUGUUGUUGUUGGCGCCCACGCCCGCGCGCGCCUUUAAGCAAGCUCGCCAUGUUGUUCUCAAAGGGAAUCAAAGAGACGCGCACGCGCACCGCAUCUUAGACCAUACAUAGAUACAUUCUUUCAGAUUUGAAGGCGGCUCUAAUUUAAAGUUAUUUUUUGUUUUUCUGUAUUAACUUUUUCUACAGCCGCAAAAUGUUGUAAUAUUUAGAAGGCAUAACGCCUCUUAGUCGAGCUUGUCGCAGCUCUAAGUCAGCAUAACAAUGCAAGACGAAAUUGUAAACAAACUGAAAUGUCUUUUGUAACACGAUCUGUUUUAAAGGAAGGAACUAUUGUUAAUUAAUUUUGUUCUGUAAAAACGUAGGAUAUAUGUAUUGUUUUUGUGAAAUGUAUUUCUUAUAAGACUUAAGAACCCCCAUGGCAGAGGCGUGCCCUGGAGAGUGAGUCUUCAAUACCCAUACAUACAUACCCCCUGAUGAUGACUGAGAUUCUUCUGUGCGGAUACUUGGGAGCAUUCGCGAGCAGGGCACUACUACAAAGGUCUGCACAUUUUCGAUAUACACGUGGGUCUUGGCGGACAAAUCUCAUCCAUCAAGAAGCUUCCUGGGGCGAUAUUUGGCGCAUUAAACGCUGGCUGGUUGACACUAUUGAUACUACCUACAACUACUACUAGUUUCCCUGAGCUUCUCAUCCCAUUAUCUAUCUCUGGGAGUCUUCGUUUCGUGGGCUUGACUAUAUUUCUGUUGGACUGCAUUCUGGUGCCAUUCGAAUUCUCUCCGAGAGAUUCAAACCAUCCUGGAGGGCAAAUUAAGCAAGCAGCAAGCAUCAUCUUCAAACAGCUGCUUAACUUCUAGUCCCGUGCUGCUUUCAUCCAAAAUGAAUUCAACACUCUGGUCUCGCAGAGUUUCUUCCUGCUCCAAACUCGGAUGCGGUAUACGGUUCUUCGAUUCUUCGAUUGGAAUGCUAAGCAUUCCCUUGCAUUACUGCCCUUGCCAGUACAUCAUCAACUUGUAAACAGUGAGGCCGAUCAUCAAAAUACCAGGCACACCACCACUACUAACAUUCAACCAAACAUCACUCAUCGACACGCACUUUUUCGACCUCAACCUCGUAUGCUCGCACCAUGGGACAUUUGGCUGGUCUGGUUGUGUUUUCCCCCCGUACUGAGCUUGAGGACGACAACUGCCGUUUAUCUUCAACUUCAACUCGGUUUCUUGGUAUCUUCAAUCGCAAUCAAUUUCGCUGCAGUUGUGGACCUCCUCGGGAAUACGGGAAUAGUUAGGAGCUUCGCUACGCACUGAUCGCUUGGGGUCUGUUCGACUGUUCAACUAUUGGCUCGAAAAUUACGCUUCGUUCUAUCCGCUCCACAUUUGAGGCAUUUUUCGUGAAGAUUAGCUUUUGAGGAUCGCAAGAGUUUGCAGGCUUUCAUAAAUGGACGUGACUACGCUUUGAUUUAAAUCCUUGAGAUUUGACGGCGGCGAGGGAGAUUCCAAGUAUUGACUGCGGCGCGGGAUACCACGAAUGGACUGCAGCGUGGGAACACCUAGGCGUUUAAUUAGGGAUUUGGUUAGGAGGAGAGGGCGUUAGGGAUCCUUUUUCACUCAAAAAUGUAUGGAAAUGGACGGCGUGGGACUUCCUGGUGGUUUGACGGCGGCGUGGGAGCUCCUGAGAGCGGGACGGCUGCGCGGGAGAUUUUCAAAGCUGGACGGCGGCGUGGGAGCUCUUCAAAGCACGACAGCGGCGUGGGAGUUCUUCAAACUUGGACGGCGGCGUGGGAGAUCAGGCGACUCAGGCUGGACUGCGGCGAUGGAGAUCCUGUAAGUUGGGACUGCGGCGAGGGAGUUCCUGGGUUCCUGGACGGCGGCGUGGGAGUUCCUAGGGACUGGACGGCGGCGUGGGAGUUUCCGGGUCGGCGUGGGAGCCACAUCGGGUGCGGUUUUUUUAUAUAAAAUAUCAUCGUUGGUAUUCAGGCCACCUUUAUCAAUCCUUGACUGGGGUUUUAACAUUACUUAUCUAUCGUUCAAAGCUGAUACCCUUAUGCUGUACAAAAGUGGCAACUGCAAAAAUUCGAGUCCUUCGCUACCUCUGAUAUUAACAUGCAACCCCUUCUAAAACAAAUUCAUUUUGGAGCAAAUCAUUACCACACUCAUAUAUAUACAUAUUAGAAAGUUCCUGGAAUACCGGAAAACGAUGAUCCAGAUAAUCGGCUCCUAAACUGAUUAUCUGUUGAAUAAAAACGUGAUUUUUGAAAAAAUGAA